rnacentral:rRNA from 1 species
GUGGGGAAUUUUGGACAAUGGGGGCAACCCUGAUCCAGCCAUCCCGCGUGUGCGAUGAAGGCCUUCGGGUUGUAAAGCACUUUUGGCAGGAAAGAAAUCGCACGGGAUAAUACCUCGUGUGGAUGACGGUACCUGCAGAAUAAGCACCGGCUAACUACGUGCCAGCAGCCGCGGUAAUACGUAGGGUGCAAGCGUUAAUCGGAAUUACUGGGCGUAAAGCGUGCGCAGGCGGUUCGGAAAGAAAGAUGUGAAAUCCCAGGGCUUAACCUUGGAACUGCAUUUUUAACUACCGGGCUAGAGUGUGUCAGAGGGGGGUGGAAUUCCGCGUGUAGCAGUGAAAUGCGUAGAUAUGCGGAGGAACACCGAUGGCGAAGGCAGCCCCCUGGGAUAACACUGACGCUCAUGCACGAAAGCGUGGGGAGCAAACAGGAUUAGAUACCCGGGUAGUCC